rnacentral:rRNA from 1 species
UACGUAGGUGGCAAGCGUUGUCCGGAUUUAUUGGGUUUAAAGGGUGCGUAGGCGGCCCGUUAAGUCAGUGGUGAAAGCCUCCAGCUCAACUGGAGAACUGCCAUUGAUACUGACGGGCUUGAGUACAGACGAGGUUGGCGGAAUUGAUUGUGUAGCGGUGAAAAUGCAUAGAUACAAUCAAGAACUCCGAUUGCGUAGGCAGCUAACUAGGCUGUAACUGACGCUGAGGCACGAAAGCGUGGGGAGCGAACAGG